GCAAGGACUGAUUGACUCAUUGCACUGGAUGGCAAUAGUACAUGGAAUGAAAUUGAAUGGAUGCACCACUUGUUUUUCAUGGAUGAUGAUGGAACCGCUCUGGAUGAGUAAGCUUGGUAUGGGAUGACCAAGAAAUAGGGACGUACGCAAGUACAAGGAAUAUCAAGGAUUGAGCAGGGAUGAAGCAGGAUGCAGAUUGACGCAUGGAUGGUGCAGGGAGCACAAAAAUAGCAGGAUAGCUUAACAGAGAACAGAAAGGCGCGGCUUUAUAGCCGCGCCUUUACUUGUUAAU
rnacentral:misc_RNA from 1 species